GUACACGCUGUGACUAGCAUAUCAAUAAGCGGAGGAAAAGAAACUAACAAGGAUUCCCCUAGUAACGGCGAGUGAAGCGGGAAGAGCUCAAAUUUGAAAUCUUAAAGGGUUUCCCUUUACGAAUUGUAGUUUAAAGAAGUGUUUUCUGUUGAGGUUUUGGUAAAAGUUCUUUGGAAUAGGACAUCAUAGAGGGUGAGAAUCCCGUAUUUGACCAUUAUUUUCAGCUUUGUGAUACACUUUCAAAGAGUUGGAUUGUUUGGGAAUGCAGUCCAAAAUGGGUGGUAAAUUUCAUCUAAAGCUAAAUAUUGGCGAGAGACCGAUAGCGAACAAGUACCGUGAGGGAAAGAUGAAAAGAACUUUGAAAAGAGAGUUAAACAGUACGUGAAAUUGUCAAAAGGGAAGCGUUUGACACCCGUGUUGCUUUCUGAAAAUCAACCUCUGUUAGCUUUAUGCAUGUUUGUUUAGACCUAAUCAGCUAUCUUGCAUGUUCUAUUGUUUGCAGUGGUGCACUUUUCAGUUUACAGGUCAACAUCAGUUUUUUUUACCGUAAAAAAGUUAAAGAAAGGUAGCUCAUGGCUCCGGUCGUGAGUGUUAUAGUCUUUUUCCUAUGCGGUAGGAGAGACUGAGGUCUGCAGUGUAGGCUAUUUGGCUAGAUACUCAGGUGCUAUGUGAUACCAUUUCAUAAACAACUUGUUGAUUAUGUUUUGUCUAUUGCAUACUCGCUUGUACUAUCAUACCUACGCUUAGGAUGUUGAGUAGCGACAUACGCAC
rnacentral:rRNA from 1 species